UACGGGGUAUGCAAGUGUUAUCCGGAAUCACUGGGCGUAAAGCGUCUGUAGGUGGUUAAAUAAGUCAACUGUUAAAUCUUGAGGCUUAACCUCAAAAUCGCAGUCGAAACUGUUUGACUAGAGUAUAGUAGGGGUAAAGGGAAUUUCCAGUGGAGCGGUGAAAUGCGUAGAUAUUGGAAAGAACACCGAUGGCGAAGGCACUUUACUGGGCUAUUACUAACACUGAGAGACGAAAGCUAGGGUAGCAAAUGGG
rnacentral:rRNA from 1 species